GAUCAUGGCUCAGGAUGGACGCUAGCUACAGGCUUAACACAUGCAAGUCGAGGGGCAGCAUGAACUUAGCUUGCUAAGUUUGAUGGCGACCGGCGCACGGGUGAGUAACACGUAUCCAACCUGCCGAUGACUCGGGGGUAGCCUUUCGAAAGAAAGAUUAAUACCCGAUGGCAUAGUUCUUCCGCAUGGUAGAACUAUUAAAGAACUUCGGUCAUCGAUGGGGAUGCGUUCCAUUAGG
rnacentral:rRNA from 1 species